rnacentral:lncRNA from 1 species
UGUAAUCUAUUAAGUGUGCAAUAGCGUUGUAUCUAAAACACGACGUGCAUACCUUAAUUUAAAAAGACUUUAUUGCUAAAAUAAAAAUGCCAACAAUCAUCUGAGCCUUUAAUGAGUUCUAAUCUUUUUGCUGGUGGAGGGUCUUGCCUCGGUGUUGAUGGCUUUGUACUGGUCAGGGUGGUAGUUGUGGUAGUUGCUGAAGGUUGGGGUGACUGUGGCACAGUCCCCUGGGGCGCCUCCCGCAUAGAUCUGCAGCAGAUGACAAACCAACAAUAUCAUCUAAAUAAAAAAUCCAGCAUGGGUUUAGUAAAUUAAUCCUGACAAGAAUAAAUUGAAUAAUCUUAGGGAAAUGGCAAGA